rnacentral:rRNA from 1 species
GAUGAACGCUGGCGGCGUGCCUAAUACAUGCAAGUCGAGCGAACGGACGAGAAGCUUGCUUCUCUGAUGUUAGCGGCGGACGGGUGAGUAACACGUGGAUAACCUACCUAUAAGACUGGGAUAACUUCGGGAAACCGGAGCUAAUACCGGAUAAUAUUUUGAACCGCAUGGUUCAAAAGUGAAAGACGGUCUUGCUGUCACUUAUAGAUGGAUCCGCGCUGCAUUAGCUAGUUGGUAAGGUAACGGCUUACCAAGGCAACGAUGCAUAGCCGACCUGAGAGGGUGAGCGGCCACACUGGAACUGAGACCCGGUCCAGACUCCUACGGGAAGCAGCAGUAGGGAAUCUUCCGCAAAGGGCGAAAGCCUGACGGAGCAACGCCGCGUGAGUGAUGAAGGUCUUCGGAUCGUAAAACUCUGUUAUUAGGGAAGAACAUAUGUGUAAGUAACUGUGCACAUCUUGACGGUACCUAAUCAGAAAGCCACGGCUAACUACGUG